rnacentral:rRNA from 1 species
GUAGGUGGCAAGCGUUAUCCGGAAUUACUGGGGCGUAAAGGGCACGCAGGCGGCCAAGCAAGUCUGACGUGAAAGCUCCUGGGCUUAACUGGGAGAGGUCGUUGGAAACUGUUUGGCUUGAGGUAAUGAGAGGGGUGCGGAAUUCCCGGUGUAGUGGUGGAAUGCGUAGAUAUCGGGAGGAACACCAGUGGCGAAAGCGGCAUCCUAGCAUUGACCUGACGCUCAUGUGCGAAAGCGUGGGGAGCAAACGGGAUUAGAUACCCCGGUAGUCCACGCUGUAAACGAUGAGCACUAGGUGUGGGUAGUGUUAAAGCUAUCUGUGCCGAAGCAAACGCGAUAAGUGCUCCGCCUGGGGAGUACGGCCGCAAAGGCUA